AACGAACGCUGGCGGCAUGCCUAACACAUGCAAGUCGAACGAGACCUUCGGGUCUAGUGGCGCACGGGUGCGUAACGCGUGGGAACCUGCCCUUAGGUUCGGAAUAACUCCCCGAAAGGGGUGCUAAUACCGGAUAAUGUCUUCGGACCAAAGAUUUAUCGCCUUUGGAUGGGCCCGCGUUGGAUUAGCUAGUUGGUAGGGUAAAAGCCUACCAAGUCGACGAUCCAUAGCUGGUCUGAGAGGAAGAUCAGCCACACUGGGACUGAGACACGGCCCAGACUCCUACGGGAGGCAGCAGUGGGGAAUAUUAGACAGUGGGAGAAAGCCUGAUCCAGCAAUGCCGCGUGAGUGAUGAAGGCCUUAGGGUUGUAAAGCUCUUUUACCCGGGAUGAUAAUGACAGUACCGGGAGAAUAAGCUCCGGCUAACUCCGUG
rnacentral:rRNA from 1 species